rnacentral:rRNA from 1 species
AAAUUGAAGAGUUUGAUCAUGGCUCAGAUUGAACGCUGGCGGCAGGCCUAACACAUGCAAGUCGAACGGUAACAGGAAGAAGCUUGCUUCUUUGCUGACGAGUGGCGGACGGGUGAGUAAUGUCUGGGAAACUGCCUGAUGGAGGGGGAUAACUACUGGAAACGGUAGCUAAUACCGCAUAACGUCGCAAGACCAAAGAGGGGGACCUUCGGGCCUCUUGCCAUCGGAUGUGCCCAGAUGGGAUUAGCUUGUUGGUGGGGUAACGGCUCACCAAGGCGACGAUCCCUAGCUGGUCUGAGAGGAUGACCAGCCACACUGGAACUGAGACACGGUCCAGACUCCUACGGGAGGCAGCAGUGGGGAAUAUUGCACAAUGGGCGCAAGCCUGAUGCAGCCAUGCCGCGUGUAUGAAGAAGGCCUUCGGGUUGUAAAGUACUUUCAGCGGGGAGGAAGGGAGUAAAGUUAAUACCUUUGCUCAUUGACGUUACCCGCAGAAGAAGCACCGGCUAACUCCGUGCCAGCAGCCGCGGUAAUACGGAGGGUGCAAGCGUUAAUCGGAAUUACUGGGCGUAAAGCGCACGCAGGCGGUUUGUUAAGUCAGAUGUGAAAUCCCCGGGCUCAACCUGGGAACUGCAUCUGAUACUGGCAAGCUUGAGUCUCGUAGAGGGGGGUAGAAUUCCAGGUGUAGCGGUGAAAUGCGUAGAGAUCUGGAGGAAUACCGGUGGCGAAGGCGGCCCCCUGGACGAAGACUGACGCUCAGGUGCGAAAGCGUGGGGAGCAAACAGGAUUAGAUACCCUGGUAGUCCACGCCGUAAACGAUGUCGACUUGGAGGUUGUGCCCUUGAGGCGUGGCUUCCGGAGCUAACGCGUUAAGUCGACCGCCUGGGGAGUACGGCCGCAAGGUUAAAACUCAAAUGAAUUGACGGGGCCCGCACAAGCGGUGGAGCAUGUGGUUUAAUUCGAUGCAACGCGAAGAACCUUACCUGGUCUUGACAUCCACGGAAGUUUUCAGAGAUGAGAAUGUGCCUUCGGGAACCGUGAGACAGGUGCUGCAUGGCUGUCGUCAGCUCGUGUUGUGAAAUGUUGGGUUAAGUCCCGCAACGAGCGCAACCCUUAUCCUUUGUUGCCAGCGGUCCGGCCGGGAACUCAAAGGAGACUGCCAGUGAUAAACUGGAGGAAGGUGGGGAUGACGUCAAGUCAUCAUGGCCCUUACGACCAGGGCUACACACGUGCUACAAUGGCGCAUACAAAGAGAAGCGACCUCGCGAGAGCAAGCGGACCUCAUAAAGUGCGUCGUAGUCCGGAUUGGAGUCUGCAACUCGACUCCAUGAAGUCGGAAUCGCUAGUAAUCGUGGAUCAGAAUGCCACGGUGAAUACGUUCCCGGGCCUUGUACACACCGCCCGUCACACCAUGGGAGUGGGUUGCAAAAGAAGUAGGUAGCUUAACCUUCGGGAGGGCGCUUACCACUUUGUGAUUCAUGACUGGGGUGAAGUCGUAACAAGGUAACCGUAGGGAACCUGCGGUUGGAUCACCUCCUUA